rnacentral:misc_RNA from 1 species
UAUUGCCGAAUAUUUACGAAAUAAACCGAAUACUUGCCGUCGAUAAUUUUGGACGCUGACAUUUGUUUACAAAUUUUGGAAUUAUUAAUUAGGAUAAAAACUGACUUUUAAGAAUGUCUAGUGCAAACUUAGAGCACAGAGAGGUUUCGGCUCCCAGAGUCAGUAAAUUCAACGUUUAUAUUCAGGGGGACCUCAAGCAUUGUCAUUUUACGAUCCUCACAGUACAUGACCUGGGAUGCAAUCACAACAGUUGGAGGAACUUCUUGGAACAUGAGUCUAUGAAGCACAUAACGAACAGAGCUGCAUUUAUACAUGUAGAUGUUCCAGGACAGGAAGAUGGAGCUCCAGAUCUCCCCCCAGAAGAAGAGAGUACUAGUGCCAUUAGUAACAUUGGCAGGAGGUUGAGUAUGGGAACAGAAAGAAAAGGCAGUUUCCGCGAACAAACUGAGGAAUGUUACACGUUUCCGAGUAUGCAGAGUCUUGGUGAAGAUCUCAUAUGUGUUUUAGAUCAGUUAGAUGUGAAGAAUGUUGUAGGUCUGGGAGAAGGAGCUGGUGCAAACAUUAUUGCAAGGUUUGCUAUGUCCCAUCCUAAGAGAGUGUUGGGUAUUUGUUUGGUACACUGCACAGGAACUACUGCAGGAUUCAUGGAAUCUCUCAAGGAUAAGGUGAUUGGCUGGAAGUUGGACCAUAUAGGUAUGAACCCAACUGCAGAGGCCUACCUUGUGCUUCACAGAUUUGGAUCUAAACAUUUGAAAGAUAGCAAUAAACGGUUUGAAAAGGCUGAGAACAAAGAGGAAUUGAACAAGGUGUUAACAACAUUCCAGGAUGGACUACGCUCUAAGCUCAAUCCUCACAACCUCAACAGAUAUGUCCAGUCUUUUAUGAAGCGUACAUGCAUUACUGACACAAUUCAGAAAAUAACAUGCCCAGUGUUGAUGGUAACAGGAGAUAAAGCUUCAUUCAAUCAUACUGUUCAUCAUUUGUAUGGUUACAUGUCACAGAAACUUGACAAAGCAAAGAUUGAGUUACUCGAAGUGGAAGGGGUGGCUAAUGUGUUGGAAGAGAAGCCUCAGAAGUUGGCAGAGAGCUUCUUGUACUUCUGUCAGGGUAUUGGUGUAGUGGGUGGAGUACCUAUGCCAAGAGUGGAAAGAACUUCUUCAGUUGACAGCGAUUCAGCUAGAGCAGCACUUCGUAAUCGCAGCAUGUCCAUGGAAGAGGCAGAUUUACCUAAAGGAACCUACUCUACCAGUCCUACCAGGUUCGGUAGUCCAUUAGCUUCCAGCCCAGCUAAAUCAGGGAACCCUCUUUCAAGCAGCCCGUAAAGGGGGGCGUCGCUGUUAACCUAGAUUUUGUUUGUAUGUAAGGUGCAGGGCCACUCGUUCAGUCAAUGUUUACAUAAGUGUUUAUGUUUAAAUGAAGCCAGAAAUACAACUGCACCCAAAUGUUUUGGAUAAGCCGAAUGAUUCCAUUGCAUAACUGUACAUGUUGUAGAAGAAAAUCAUACCUAGAUUCAUGUUCUAUUUUUUGGUGAAGGAUUUUGAUACUACGUGUUUGUUCCAGGCACCCAUUUUAUACUGUUCAAUUUUUGUAUAUUUUACCAUGAAUUUUCUACUAAAUAUACUCAUUUUGAUAAGAAGUGUAGAAUAUAUCUGUCAGGAAGUUGUGUGUAAUAUAAUAGUACUGCAAUGUUUAAUGCAAGUUUUAAAGGUAUACUAGGCCCAAAUUUCAUAUUUGAAAAUGUGAACAAUUGCUGCAUAUAGUUUAUGUAAACAUAAAGUCAGCAAGUUUAUAUGUAUCAGUAGUACUAUGCAUUAAAGAUUUAAAAUAGUACACACUUGAAAUAUGUAUAACUAAACGCAAUAUAAAUUUGUAGUACCACUAAAAACUGGAAGUUAUUUAAACAAUCAACUGUUACUGACAGCAAGACAACUAUGAAUGUAUUUCAACAUGUACAAUUAAUGUAUAUAUUCUAUUAAGUAAAUACAGUUGAUGGGGAUAGUAAAUAUAUGAAGAUAAAAUAUAUUAGUGAAGUAUGAGCGUUGGAUACCUUUAAUGUAUGACAAACUGCAAUAGUUAUAAUUCAGAUUUUUACUUUUUUUUUACUGCUAGUGACAGGAGAGCUUCGCUUCAAGCUACAGACCUAGUGGAACAAAGAUAGAAGGAACGGUAUCUGCAAGUGAGGUUAAAGUUGACCUGGUAGAGAAAGAAUGAACUCUGUCAGUGUGUCAAUUUAACUGUUUUUACAAAAGAUUUCAUCAUAUAUGAUAAAUCAGGAAAACUGUUGUACCUUUUUUGUAGUGUAUGUGUGAUUUGCUUACGAUUGAGGGAUAUUUUUCUUGAACAAUUUUGCCAUUAUGGCAUUUUCAUCUUGAAUAUUUUAUUGAAUUAAAUUACUGUAAAGUCAGACCAUUCAUGAGAGAUUGAUUUUUGCAUCUAAAGUGUUUGUGUGCAAGUUGAAUGGAAAACUUGAAAGAAAAUCUUGAAAACUUUAUCUUUGUGUUCGUCUGCUAUGGGAAUUGUAAAACUCUUUGUAUUCAGUGUUACAAAUUUGACAAACAAAUUAUGAAAUAUCCGACAAUCCAUUGACAUAAACUGAGGGGAAAAUUAAUAACAUUUUUUAAACUUAUUUUGUUAGGUUUCAGCACUUCAAUGCAAAAGUGUAUAAGUUGGUGUUUGUUUAACAGUAUAUAAUUAGAUUAAUACAUAUUACAAUGCUCUGAGAUAUGACAGUUCCAUAAAAACUGGAAAUACAUGCAAGCCUUAGCAAAAAGUAUUUUGUGAACUUGAAUUCAGAAGUAACUCUAUAUCAGGAAAACAUGUAUUUGUUUGAACAACCUAUAACAAGGAAACAUAUUUUAACAAAAUUAAAUUGUAAUAUUACAGGUCAUUUGAUAUGCUGGCAGAGUUCGUAUUUCUUUAUUUUUAUAUGUUUCAUACUUUGAUAUUUUUGUUUAGCUGAAUCACACAAAUAUUUAUGUUUAUUAUAGUAACUACAUAUCUUCUUUACACAUGAUUUUAAACAGAGGAAUUUAUUUGCGUGAUUCACCAU